UACGUAGGUGGCAAGCGUUGUCCGGAAUUAUUGGGCGUAAAGAGCUCGUAGGCGGUCUGUCGCGUCUGGUGUGAAAACCCGAGGCUCAACCUCGGGCCUGCAGUGGGUACGGGCAGACUAGAGUGCGGUAGGGGAGAUUGGAAUUCCGGGUGUAGCGGUGGAAUGCGCAGAUAUCAGGAGGAACACCGAUGGCGAAGGCAGAUCUCUGGGCCGUAACUGACGCUGAGGUGCGAAAGUGUGGGGAGCAAACAGG
rnacentral:misc_RNA from 1 species